rnacentral:rRNA from 1 species
UACGUAGGGGGCUAGCGUUGUCCGGAAUCAUUGGGCGUAAAGCGCGUGUAGGCGGCCCGGUAAGUCCGCUGUGAAAGUCGGGGGCUCAACCCUCGAAAGCCGGUGGAUACUGUCGGGCUCGAGUGCGGAAGAGGCGAGUGGAAUUCCUGGUGUAGCGGUGAAAUGCGCAAAUAUCAGGAGGAACACCGAUUGCGAAGGCAGCUCGCUGGGACGUUACUGACGCUGAGACGCGAAAGCGUGGGGAGCAAACAGG